rnacentral:rRNA from 1 species
UACGUAGGGUGCAAGCGUUGUCCGGAAUUAUUGGGCGUAAAGAGCUCGUAGGCGGUCUGUCGCGCGGCUGUGAAAACCCGGGGCUCAACCCCGGGCCUGCAUCCGAAACUGCCCGACUAGAGGUAGGUAGGGGAGAUCGGAAUUCCUGGUGUAGCGGUGAAAAUGCGCAGAUAUCAGGAGGAACACCGGUGGCGAAGGCGGAUCUCUGGGCCUUACCUGACGCUCAGGUGCGAAAGCUAGGGGAGCGAACAGG